rnacentral:rRNA from 1 species
GCAUAUCAAUAAGCGGAGGAAAAGAAACCAACAGGGAUUGCCUCAGUAACGGCGAGUGAAGCGGCAAAAGCUCAAAUUUGAAAUCUGGCUCUUUCAGGGUCCGAGUUGUAAUUUGUAGAAGAUGCUUUGGGUGCGGCUCCGGUUUAAGUUCUUUGGAAUAUUACAUCAUAGAGGGUGAGAAUCCCGUAUGUGACCGGUUGCCUAUCUCGUGUAAAGCUCUUUCAACGAGUCGAGUUGUUUGGGAAUGCAGCUCAAAAUGGGUGGUAUAUUUCAUCUAAAGCUAAAUAUUGGCCAGAGACCGAUAGCGCACAAGUAGAGUGAUCGAAAGAUGAAAAGCACUUUGGAAAGAGAGUUAAACAGUACGUGAAAUUGUUGAAAGGGAAGCGCUUGCAACCAGACUUGCACGCAGUUGAUCAUCCGGGGUUCUCCCCGGGGCACUCUGCUGCGUUCAGGCCAGCAUCGGUUUUGGUGGUUGGAUAAAGGCCUUGGGAAUGUAGCUUCUUUCGGGGAGUGUUAUAGCCCAAGGUGCAAUGCAGCCUACCGGGACCGAGGACCGCGCUUCGGCUAGGAUGCUGGCGUAAUGGUUGCAAGCGGCCCGUCUUGAAACACGGACCAAGGAGUCUAACAUCUAUGCGAUGUUGGGG